UUGCCCUCUUAAGGCUGUGUAGUGCUUUAAGUGGCCAAUACAGAAGGGUAUAGAAGUGUUCUCUUAAACCUAGAGGGAAGGAUGAAGUUCCUUCUCUGGAUCUUGUUGGGAGAAACAUAA